GAUGAACGCUGGCGGCGUGCUUAACACAUGCAAGUCGAACGGAAAGGCCCAAGCUUGCUUGGGUACUCGGGUGGCGAACGGGUGAGUAACACGUGGGGAAUCUGCCCUGCACUUGGGGAUAAGCUUGGGAAACUGGGUCUAAUCCCGGUUAGGACCACUUCUUGGAGGUUUUGGUGGAAAGUUUUUUGGGUGUGGGUUAGGUCGGCGGCCUCUAAGCUUGUUGGGGGGUGAAGGGCCUACCAAGGCGUCGACGGGUAGCGGGCCUGGGAGGGUGUACGGCCACAUUGGGACUGGGAUACGGCCCAGACUCCUACGGGAGGCAGCAGGGGGGAAUAUUGCACAAUGGGCGCAAGCCUGAUGCAGCGACGCCGCGGGGGGGAUGACGGCCUUCGGGUUGUAAACUCCUUUCGCUAGGGACGAAGCGUUUUGUGACGGUACCUGGAGAAGAAGCACCGGCUAACUACGUG
rnacentral:rRNA from 1 species